CGCGUAGGUGGUAGUGUAAGUCUGGGGUGGAAUCCCAGGGCUUAACCCUGGAACUGCCUUGGAAACUGCAUUACUUGAGUCAGUGAGGGGAGGGUAGAAUUCCUGGUGUAGCGGUGAAAUGCGUAGAUAUCAGGAGGAAGGCCUGUGGCGAAGGCGGCCCUCUGGCGCUGGACUGACACUGAGGCGCGAAAGCGUGGGGAGCAAACAGGAUUAGAUACCCUGGUAGUCCACGCCCUAAACGGUGGGCACUAGGUGUAGGGCUCGUAAGGGUUCUGUGCCGAAGGGAACCAUUAAGUGCCCCGCUGGGGAGUACGGCCGCAAGGUUGAA
rnacentral:rRNA from 1 species